rnacentral:rRNA from 1 species
CCUACGGGCGGCAGCAGUGGCGAAUAUUGCACAAUGGGCGCAAGCCUGAUGCAGCCAUGCCGCGUGUGUGAAGAAGGCCUUCGGGUUGUAAAGCACUUUCAGCGGGGAGGAAGGCGGUGAGGUUAAUAACCUCACCGAUUGACGUUACCCGCGGAAGAAGCACCGGCUAACUCUGUGCCAGCAGCCGCGGUAAUACGGAGGGUGCAAGCGGUAAUCGGAAUUACUGGGCGUAAAGCGCACGCAGGCGGUCUGUCAAGUCGGAUGUGAAAUCCCCGGGCUCAACCUGGGAACUGCAUUCGAAACUGGCAGGCUAGAGUCUUGUAGAGGGGGGUAGAAUUCCAGGUGUAGCGGUGAAAUGCGUAGAGAUCUGGAGGAAUACCGGUGGCGAAGGCGGCCCCCUGGACAAAGACUGACGCUCAGGUGCGAAAGCGUGGGGAGCAAACAGGAUUAGAUACCCCAGUAGUC